UACGUAGGGCGCAAGCGUUAUCCGGAAUAUUGGGCGUAAAGAGCUCGUAGGCGGUUUGUCGCGUCUGCUGUGAAAGACCGGGGCUCAACUCCGGUUCUGCAGUGGGUACGGGCAGACUAGAGUGAUGUAGGGGAGACUGGAAUUCCUGGUGUAGCGGUGAAAUGCGCAGAUAUCAGGAGGAACACCGGUGGCGAAGGCGGGUCUCUGGGCCGUAACUGACGCUGAGACGCGAAAGCGUGGGGAGCAAACAGG
rnacentral:rRNA from 1 species